GUGUGAGAACAGACUGUUGAAAUGCUACUACAACUGCGAUGAAUAUUCUACUAACGGCAAGUGAUUUAGUCGAAAGGAGACUAAAAAGAAGCAUGACUAGAUGUGUUGUGUACACAGAUGUUUUGAUACAUCUUUGGUUGAUAUUGGUCAGUGUUGAAGGAUGGACGUAUCACUGGAAGGAGAACGAGAAAAUGACCUGGAAUGAGACAAGGGCGUGGUGUCAAAAAGAAUACACAGACAUUGUGAUGGUCCACAAUGAAAAUGUAACACGCUUCCUUGAAAAAAAUUUGCCUGAAAAAUCUUCAUCUCCUUACUUCUGGAUUGGAAUGAAAAAGAUCAAUGACAUUUGGACGUGGGCUGCCAAUGGACAGAGGGUGGACAAUGAAAACUGGGCACCCACUGAGCCCAACAACAACAAUGCAGAUGAGAACUGUGUGGAAUUAUACACCAACACUAACAAUAAAGGAAAGUGGAAUGAUGACAGCUGUGAACAUAAAAAGCAUCCUUUAUGCCAGAAAGCACAGUGUCCAAACAAUUGCACUGAUAGACAGUACUGCGUAGAACAAGUCAACAACGUCACCUGUGUGUGUAAAACAGGUUUCUCUGGGCCAGAGUGUGAAACAGGUCAGAACAAACACUUCAACAGAAGUGAAAUAUAUUAUUAUUUAAUAGCAGUUCUUAGCUGGUGGCUCACGACCCGGGUCUGUUCUGAUGGGGUCAGCGAAAAAACGAUGUUUAAUGGACAUAGUUAUAUAUAAUCCUGGAUGUACUGUAUUAUUUUAUGAUAAUCUUUACUUAAAAUAAUAUUUUACCCAAAAAAUGAAAAUUUGCUGUAAAUGUACUCACCCUCAGACGAUCCAAGAUGUGGAUGAACCGUUUCUUCAUCAGAUGAGUAAAUUCGAAUCUUCGUCGGAUUAGUAAAUCUUCUGCAAAUUUUCCAUAUUGGGUGAACUACUCCUUUAAGACAUUUCUUGAUCAUGCAGUCUUUUUCUCUCUGUCUCUCCAGUGGUUUCAUGUGAACCACUCUCUGCACCACCACAUGGCGGGAUGCAAUGCUCCGGUCCGUAUGGGAAUCAUUCACUCAACUCAGAUUGUACAUUUUCUUGUGUUGGUGGUUAUAAACUGAAUGGUAAAGAUGAGCUCAAAUGCAAUUCCUCCGGUGCAUGGAACGCACCACCACCUUCAUGUGCAGGUGCAAUAUCGGAGUGUUUUCCCAUUCUUUUGUUUGGUGGUGGAUUGCUGAACUGCACUGAAGGACAUGACAGCAUCAGAUCUGCCUGUAGAGUACAGUGUCCACCUGGUCACCUGCUGCUGGGGUUUGUUGAGUUCACCUGCAGAGCUGAUGGCACAUGGGAGUCUUCCUUUCCACUAAUGUGUGCAAGUUAUGUCCAUUUUCUAAUUGCUCUUUUGGCAUCUGUUGUCAUCUCUGUGUUUUGUGGCUGUUUAUUUUGUUGCUCCAGCUGCAGAAGGAGUAAAAAGACAGUGAGAACUCGACCAGAAACAGAGAAUCCAGCAUUUGAAGCAGAACACACACCACUAGAGGGCCCUCUCUGUUCAGCAUAAACAUUUCUAAUCUGGAUGUCUAAACGGGGAUUAAUUAAAAUCCUCUUCUGUUUUUUUA